CUUCUUCAAGCUCCGCCCCUUCUUUCAAAAAUAAAAAAACAGCGCUAACGAGCAAGAAAACGGAUGCGCUAAGGCGCAACUUUGCGCAGCUGCUACGCCCUUGCUUCUUGCCUUAUCUUACUUAGUAAAGCAACCUUUCGUGCUAGGCGCUCACCUUUUUUGUUUGGGUGGAAGCUGGCGGGCAGGGCUUGCUUAACCGGAUACACGGAAUUGGGAUCUCUGUUGCAUGCAAAUCUUUCUAUCGGGAAAGCCUCGCUUAUUCAAAGGGCUUCUUAUUUAGAACCCUUUUUUUUGCUUAGUUGUAAGUAAGCAUUGGUAGGAGCAGCGGGAUGAUGAUGAGUAUAUAAAUCAAUAAAGACCAAAAAAUAAUAAAUGGCAAGAUAAAUUAGAUAUCUAUGGAAAAAAUAACGAUGUAGAGGGCGACUGAAAAGGAGGCUCGACCUACAGGGAGAGUGGUGGGCAGGGAUUCUCUACAAUGACACUGUUGUAGACCAAUUGAAAGGGAUGUAGCGCAGUUUGGUAGCGCCUUUGUUUUGGGUAAAAAAUGUCACGGGUUCAAAUCCUGUCAUCCCUACCUAUUCUUCUCCUCUGGGCAGUAACGAGGGAUCCAUUGAGAUCGAUUCAAAUUGGACAUACAGAUUUUCAUUUUAUGAGACUAUAUGCAAAAUGGCAAGAUAAAUUAGAUAUCUAUGGAAAAAAUAACGAUGUACAAGGCGACUGAAAAUGAGGAUCGACCUACAGGGAGAGUGGUGGGCAUGGAUUCUCUACAAUGACACUGUUGUAGACCAAUUGAAAGGGAUGUAGCGCAGUUUGGUAGCGCCUUUGUUUUGGGUAAAAAAUGUCACGGGUUCAAAUCCUGUCAUCCCUACCUAUUCUUCUCCUCUGGGCAGUAACGAGGGAUCCAUUGAGAUCGAUUCAAAUUGGACAUACAGAUUUUCAUUUUAUGAGACUAUAUGCA
rnacentral:lncRNA from 1 species